UACAGAGGGUGCGAGCGUUAAUCGGAAUUACUGGGCGUAAAGCGUGCGUAGACGGUAGCGUAAGUCAGAUGUGAAAGCCCCGGGCUCAACCUGGGAACUGCAUUUGAGACUGCUCUGCUCGGGUGCGGAAGAGGGAAGCGGAAUUUCCGGUGUAGCGGUGAAAUGCGUAGAUAUCGGAAGGAACACCAGUGGCGAAAGCGGCUUCCUGGUCCGACACCGACGUUCAGGCACGAAAGCGUGGGGAGCAAACGGG
rnacentral:rRNA from 1 species